ensembl:lncRNA
CGCGGAUCAGUCCGCAUGUUCACGGUACAUUUUUUAUGGAAUAUGUUGAGCAAACCUGGAGAAGCGUCAGCUCAAGAGAUUAUUGUUGUCAUUGCUGUGGAUUUUUACCUGAUAAACUGACUUGGCUCGGGACCAGCACUCCUGUUGUUGGACAGAAAGACAUCAACUCAGUGACUUGAGAUAUGACUGCACUAUGCUGUUGCUGGUGACUCCAGUUAAUUCUACAAGACUGUACCCUCUGCAGGAUCGAUGCUCUGCAGGACUUUAUCACCGUUUUCAACUUCUGCCCACAGAGAGGAAAUUCAGGUGUACGAGGUCGGACUCCGAGAUUUUUGCGACCUUCUGCUGCCACCUUCCUUUGCCUCGGUGGGUGUCUUUAUCUGAGCAUCCCUUUAGCCCCCACUAUGACGCCCCUGGUAGCAACAUUUAACUUUCCGGGAUGUUUACAAUCAGACAAAAAAGCCUCAGUUUUGAGCGUAAUCAGCUCUUAUUCUGACCUCACCACAGCACCAUCUGUUCAACACGACGUCUGUGUGCAGACUCAUGACGUCAUGUCACACGUAUUAAAACACAUGAGAGAGAUGCUGGUUC